AUUGAACGCUGGCGGCAUGCUUUACACAUGCAAGUCGAACGGCAGCGCGGGCUUCGGCCUGGCGGCGAGUGGCGAACGGGUGAGUAAUGCAUCGGAACGUGCCCAGUAGUGGGGGAUAGCCCGGCGAAAGCAGGAUUAAUACCGCAUACGACCUGAGGGUGAAAGCGGGGGACCGAAAGGCCUCGCGCGAUUGGCGCGGCCGAUGUCGGAUUAGCUAGUUGGUGGGGUAAAGGCUUACCAAGGCGACGAUCCGUAGCUGGUCUGAGAGGACGACCGGCCACACUGGGACUGAGACACGGCCCAGACUCCUACGGGAGGCAGCAGUGGGGAAUUUUGGACAAUGGGGGCAACCCUGAUCCAGCCAUGCCGCGUGCGGGAAGAAGGCCUUCGGGUUGUAAACCGCUUUUGUUCGGGAAGAAAUCCUGUGGGCUAAUACCCCGGGGGGAUGACGGUACCGGAAGAAUAAGCACCGGCUAACUACGUG
rnacentral:rRNA from 1 species